rnacentral:sRNA from 1 species
GGGGAGGGCGGGGAGAUUGUGGACUGAGUUUGCGCGAUGAGGAAUGGAGGCUUUUGUAGUUGUGUGUGGGUGUGUGAUGUGUGUGUGUGUUGGGAGGGGUGGUCGUACUUGUGAUUUGUAGUUGUUGCAUCUUUAUCUUAUUUUAUCUUAGUAAAUGCAUACCAUUGUUCAUUAUCUAUUUAUUUUUGUUAUAUAAAUAUAAAUGUAAAUAUAAAUUUACGUUCUGAAUUACAUUCAGGAGACGUUGAGCCGUUCUCCUCCCUUUGAUUCGGUUGGUAGGGAAUUUCGAGUGAGGCAUAUAUCGUUACACAUUGAUUUAUUCACCUUACGUCUCUGUCCUACAUUCUACCCUUGUCCUAGGAAUUUCCUCUGUUCUUUUCUUUUCUUUUCUUUUCCAUGCCAAAGGGAC